rnacentral:rRNA from 1 species
AAGCUCGUAGUUGAAUUUCGGGGUUAGUAGGUUGGUCAUGCCUCUGGUAUGUACUGGUCUCACUGAUUCCUCCUUCCUUAUGAACCGUAAUGCCAUUAAUUUGGUGUUGCGGGGAAUUUGGACUGUUACUUUGAAAAAAAUUAGAGUGUUUAAAGCAAGCUAACGCUUGAAUACAUUAGCAUGGAAUAAUGAAAUAGGACGUUCGAUCUUAUUUUGUUGGUUUCUAGGAUUGACGUAAUGAUUAAUAGGAUAGUUGGG